rnacentral:lncRNA from 1 species
UUUGAUUACAGUGUUGCUGGUCAGCAUUCUGCGUGCCUAUGUCAUAGCCUCCUAAAGAUAGGAAGUCUUUUCAAAAGAACAAGAAAAUAAACCGAUAUUCCUUUAUGGUCUAAAAGCCAACGCCCUUACCUAUCUGCUGCUUCCCAGUGGCUGGGGGAGAAGUGGCACCCCCACCUUUCCUCAUUUGUUUCCACAGAAAUGAAGGAAUCCGCUUGGUUGCUUGUGCUUUGUCAUUGAGUCCAAACAAUUUCACCUAAUGUGCUUCUUAACCAAAAUUAUGUGCUAGUUUCAGUGUUCUAAAAUGUGGUCUCACUCUGUAGUACAAAAUGGCCUUCUUUCAGGACCCUCCAGCCUUAGCCUAGCUUCCAAGACUACCUCGCCAGACAUCCUAGUUAUAUUAUGAAAUAAAUGGGUCCUCUAAUGUAUUAAACAUGAACUGACUGGGAAGGAUGGCCAUUCAAUACAAGUGAAAACAUGUAAGAGAAUAAGUGGUAUAGGCUUGGGAAAUUGUCUAAAACUAAACAGUCAAGAUGGCAGCACGUUACACAAACUCAAGCUCCCUAGUAGUCUUCUUACAACAGUAUUCGGAACCCCAGUCCCACACUUUUCUCACCAGAUACUAGUACCAUUCUCUGAUCUCUCUUGCCAGCACUAUAGUCCUGGGCUCCAGCUCUGGAAGUAGAACUGAGUCACUGCAUGUGUUGGUGGAACAAACUGUCUGACAACGGCAACUUAAGAAAGGGCUUAUUUCAACUCACAGCCCAUGUGACAGAGCAUGCGUCUUGAGUUACAUCAGUAGAUUAUUAAAUUAUAAUCUUGGAGCCCCGGGCUACCUUGCCAGCAGAGUCUUGCCCAACACCCGCAAGGGUCCACACGGGA